GCGGCGGUAGUUCAGUUGGUAGAAUGUCUCCCUUCCAAGGAGAAGGUCGCCGGUUCAAAUCCGGUCCGCCGCUCCA
rnacentral:tRNA from 5 species